AUUGAACGCUGGCGGCAUGCUUUACACAUGCAAGUCGAACGGCAGCAUGGAGGUGCUUGCACCUCUGAUGGCGAGUGGCGAACGGGUGAGUAAUACAUCGGAACGUACCGUUUAGUGGGGGACAACUUUCAGAAAUGGAAGCUAAUACCGCAUACGAACUACGGUUGAAAGCAGGGGACCUUCGGGCCUUGUGCUAAACGAGCGGCCGAUGGAAGAUUAGCUAGUUGGUGAGGUAAAGGCUCACCAAGGCGACGAUCUUUAGCGGGUCUGAGAGGACGAUCCGCCACACUGGAACUGAGACACGGUCCAGACUCCUACGGGAGGCAGCAGUGGGGAAUUUUGGACAAUGGGGGCAACCCUGAUCCAGCAAUGCCGCGUGAGUGAAGAAGGCCUUCGGGUUGUAAAGCUCUUUUGUCAGGGAAGAAAUCCUUAAGGUUAAUACCCUUGGGGGAUGACGGUACCUGAAGAAUAAGCACCGGCUAACUACGUGCCAGCCGCCGCGG
rnacentral:rRNA from 1 species